UACGGGGGGAGCAAGCGUUGUUCGGAUUUACUGGGCGUAAAGAGCGCGCAGGCGGUCGUUCAAGUCGAGUGUGAAAGCCCCCGGCUCAACUGGGGAGGGUCAUUCGAUACUGUUCGACUCGAAGGCAGGAGAGGGAAGUGGAAUUCCCGGUGUAGUGGUGAAAUGCGUAGAUAUCGGGAGGAACACCAGUGGCGAAGGCGACUUCCUGGCCUGUUCUUGACGCUGAGGCGCGAAAGCUAGGGGAGCAAACGGG
rnacentral:rRNA from 1 species